rnacentral:rRNA from 1 species
UACGUAGGGGGCGAGCGUUGUCCGGAGUUACUGGGCGUAAAGCGCGUGUAGGCGGGAAGCUCAGUCUGUGGUGAAAGCGCCUGGCUUAACCGGGCGAGGUCCAUGGAAACUAGCUACCUAGAGGCCGGUAGAGGGGGGUGGAAUUCCGGGUGUAGUGGUGAAAUGCGUAGAGAUCCGGAGGAACACCAGUGGCGAAGGCGGCCCCCUGGGCCGCGCCUGACGCUGAGACGCGAAAGCGCGGGGAGCGAAGCGGG